AAAUUGGAGAGUUUGAUCCUGGCUCAGAACGAACGCUGGCGGCGUGCCUAACACAUGCAAGUCGUACGAGAAAUCCUGGGCAACCGGGAGAGUAAAGUGGCGCACGGGUGAGUAACGCGUGGGUAACCUGCCCUUGAGUUGGGGAUAACCCCGCGAAAGCGGGGCUAAUACCGAAUAAUAUGUCAGUUCCUAUGGGGAUUGAAAUCGAAGGUAGCCUCUGCAUGCAAGCUAUUGCUCAAGGAUGGGCCCGCGUACCAUUAGCUUGUUGGUAGGGUAACGGCCUACCAAGGC
rnacentral:rRNA from 1 species